UUAGGAGGCUUAGGAAUUCAAAAGCUUGACAUAAAAAAUUCAUCACUCCUUGCUAAUUUAGCUUGGAGAGUAUUUAAAUCACCUAACACUUUAUGGGCUCAGGUACUCCUUAAUAAGUAUUUGACUAGAAAGAAGGGCUUUAAAUACUCUAGGAUUUGGUCUAAUAUUUUAAAAGGAUGGGAACAAUGCCAAAAUAGGUUAAAAUAGAAAAUUGAAACAGGCCAACACAUUAAUUUCUGGAAUGAUCCUUGGUUAAAUCCUAGAAUUACAAUUCGUUCCUUAAUCCAAGGACCACUUCCUCUAAAUCAAGAUAACAUCAAAGUAUCUUCUUUCCUAAAUAAUGCUGGUUAGGAUUGGAAGGCAAUGCCUUUUGAAUUACCAAAGGAUAUCACACAACCAAUACAGCAAAUUUAUAUUUCUCAACUUCACAAAACUCCGGACAUCCCAUACUGGGGAUUAACACAAACGGGUACUUUUACAUCUCGCUCUAUGUACCAUAAUUUGGUAGACAAAUUCACAACUUCACCAACACCUCCCUCUAACUUUUCAUGGAUAUGGAAGCUACCAAUCUUACCCAAGAUAAAAGCUUUUCUAUGGUUGUUAUACCAUGAUAGAUUACCCACCAAAGCUUAUCUCACCAAUAUUCAUUUAAUUCAAAACAACACUUGCACUUACUGCCAAAAUGUUGAAGAAAAUAUUAGGCAUAUCUUCCUUCUUUGCGAAAAUGCUACUGCAUACUGGAAGGAAUUAGGACUUAAAAAUCUACUGAUAUAUAUAUGCACCAUCCAAGGGACUAAGAAUUGAUUAUAUACUCUUAUUAGCUCUAAGAAUUUAAUCCUCCCUUAUAAUUUAAGCCCCAAAACAUACUUGCCUAUAAGCUUGUGGAACAUUCUCGUAACAAGAAUAAUUUUAAUUUAUUAAAGGAAAGAGUUAAUGUUUCCAUAACAACCUACCAAGCUACUAAGUAUGCUUAUUUGACAGUCUAUUAUCAUAAAUCUAAGAAAAAGUGUUUGCCUAACCUUGGAUGGCAACCUCCUGUGCAAAACAAUUAUAAGUUAAAGCCAAUGGCACAAAUGCAAGUGGAAUUGGAGGAUCAAUUCGAGAUUCAAAGGGUGAAUGGAUACUAGGGUUUGCACAAGCUAUCCACAAGGGAUCGACGCUAUCAACGGAGUUAUAUGCUUUAAUUACAGGAUUUAACUUGGUCUUACAACAUAAUUUAAUACCUAUUGAAGUUGAGUUAGAUGCUCAACAUAUUAUUACAUGGUUGCAAACUGACAACCUUCCAUUUGCCAAUAUGCUAAAUGACUGCAGGUACCUCCUCCACCAACUUAAUAAUCCGUCUGUCCAACAUGCGUACAGAGAGCAGAAUGUUGUAGCAGACCACCUAGCAAAGGCAGCCAAAUGUUUUGUUCAUACUUGUGAUCCGUAUGUCUAUCCUGUGGCACCACUUUUUGUGAACCAAGCUUUGGAAGCUGAUAAGAAGCACUUUUUGGAUGUAAAUAUAAGCAAAACAACACAUGGCUCUAUUAGCAGUUCCUAUGUAAACAAUAUGCUGCAUGUUAAUGGUAGUAGUAGUAUUAAUGUAGCUUCCUUUAGUAGUAGCUUAAUACAUAGUAGUACUAAUGUAGCUUCGUCUAGUAGUAGCUUAUUACAGUAUGGCACUAAAGCCACUUGUAAUGGAAGGCUAUACCAGCCACUCUCUGUACGCAGUACUUAAAUAUAUAUAAAUAUUAUCUUUUGUACCAAAAAAAAUAAAUCCAACGACAUCUCUCGCAGCACGCGAAGAAAUAGUAUAAGUCAGAAGCGCAUGUCAUUUAAAAUGAGACUUGUCUUACCUAGCCCAUCAGUUACCGAAUUAGUAAAAGGUUACGAAUAAUGCAUCUAAGUUUUACACCGAAUUAUGUAAUUAAAUAUUAAGGGUUCGUUUGGUUACAACGAUUAGGAGGAAGUUAUCCUAUUGAGAUUUUACCUUGUGUCACAGAAUUAAGGGGUCGUUUGGUUGAGAAUUAAGUUAUUCCGGAAUUAAUUAUUCUAGAAUUUUCAUAGGGAUAAAAAAUACUACAAUGCCAAGAUAACUAAUCCGAGAUAAGUUAUACCACUAUUUUAUCUCAACCAAAUAUAAAAUAAGUUCAUUUCAAAUUUACAGGCAAUAUUCCUCUUGUUCUGUUGCCCCUUUUGUCACCUUCCUUACAAUUUCCUUUCUAUCUUUUUACAGACAUAUUCCUCUCUUUUUCUCUGUCUUUCUAUCCUUUCAUGGGAAUCAUCUCAUUUCCCGUGACUUCAAACUCCCAACUCAAAACCCUACUCCUCCAUUGAAACACAACACUAAAAGCUUCUAACUUUACCAUUUCUUCCUGUUAUUUAUCAAUGCACCGUUAUUUCGCUGUCUCUGGCUAGAGAGAAGAUAAAUAAAGGAUAAAGAAAAAAGAUGAUGAGGUCACCUCAGGUACGAAACGGCGUCGUUGAUACGCCGUCGCCGUCACACUUUCACUCCACCGUGUCUGUACACAAGCUCCGGCGUUUCAACAU
rnacentral:lncRNA from 1 species